UACGAAGGGGGCUAGCGUUGCUCGGAAUCACUGGGCGUAAAGCGCACGUAGGCGGGUCUUUAAGUCAGGGGUGAAAUCCUAGAGCUCAACUCCAGAACUGCCUUUGAUACUGAGGAUCUCGAGUCCGGGAGAGGUGAGUGGAACUCCGAGUGUAGAGGUGAAAUUCGUAGAUAUUCGGAAGAACACCAGUGGCGAAGGCGGCUCACUGGCCCGGUACUGACGCUGAGGUGCGAAAGCGUGGGGAGCAAACAGG
rnacentral:rRNA from 1 species